CAUUUGGGUGACGUCCGAGUAAUUAAAUUAACUGCUGUGAAUCGUAAUGACUCCCUGUCUAUAUAAACCAAGCUAAGAUGGUUGGGAUUCACAAGCAAACGUGAUUUCUAGCUAAAAGAAGCAAUGUUUUUCCUCACCUUCAACUAUUUCGUGAUCCUCAUCCUCACUGCUGCGGCAUUUCUUUUACGACAAUAUUAUUUCUUCAGUGCAGAUCGAGUGAGCAGGAGGCAAAAAGGAAAUGGGAAGCAGGGGGUUCCUCCUCCAUCUCCAGCUCCGGAGGCAGAAAACACGAGGCGAGCUUUCCCACCUCUCUACUUGCCUCUCGGACUAAAUCACUUUUAAUUUAAUUAGUUGGCUUCAUCAUGUUAUUACAUAUAAGCCUCACAGCACAAGCAAAUGUAUUAGAUAUUCGAUCUUAAAUAAAAGAUGCGUGUUCGGUGCUUAGUUCAA